rnacentral:rRNA from 1 species
GAUGAACGCUGGCGGCGUGCCUAAUACAUGCAAGUCGAGCGAACGGACGAGAAGCUUGCUUCUCUGAUGUUAGCGGCGGACGGGUGAGUAACACGUGGAUAACCUACCUAUAAGACUGGGAUAACUUCGGGAAACCGGAGCUAAUACCGGAUGAUAUUUUGAACCGCAUGGUUCAAAAGUGAAAGACGGUCUUGCUGUCACUUAUAGAUGGAUCCGCGCUGCAUUAGCUAGUUGGUAAGGUAACGGCUUACCAAGGCAACGAUGCAUAGCCGACCUGAGAGGGUGAUCGGCCACACGGGAACUGAGACACGGUCCAGACUCCUACGGGAGGCAGCAGUAGGGAAUCUUCCGCAAUGGGCGAAAGCCUGACGGAGCAACGCCGCGUGAGUGAUGAAGGUCUUCGGAUCGUAAAACUCUGUUAUUAGGGAAGAACAGAUGUGUAAGUAACUGUGCACAUCUUGACGGUACCUAAUCAGAAAGCCACGGCUAACUACGUG